GCGGGGGUGGUCAUACGGGAAGGUAGGGGGAUUGGGCCUGGGGAAGCAAAGGGAGUUUGGGAUGGCAGGUACCAAAGAAAGUCAGAGAGGAGGUGCCCAGCUUCUUAUUCCAGCUGGCAUAGAGGACUGUGGACAUUUGUCCCCAGGGACUAUAUCAGGCCACCGCUGACCUUUGCCACCAAACUGGGUUUAGGUUUUUGUUUCUAGAUCAGUUUUAGGCAGAAGAGUCUCUGAAAGCCACCCCCUCCCCCAGUAGUUCACCAGUGAGCGUGGCAGAACCCCUGGGGCUGCCUUAGGCCUUCCCAGCUGGGUUGAGCUGGCUUGCUCAGCCCUCUGUCCCGUGGGGUCCCUUACAUCCAUAGGAGGCUACACCUCCUGAGUGGGUUUAGGAGUCGCUGGGCCUCCAUGGCUCUUGGUCCGUUCCAGAAGUGGAGACAGACUGCAAGCACCUGCCAACAGGACCCUUGUCAAUGCUCUGCAGGGCCGGGAGCACUGAGCCUGCUCUCGGGCCACAGUAGCAAGGCAAGGCUGCUUCCCAGCAGCUGGGGCCUUGGGGCUGCUGGUUUUUGGAAGAGGAGUGCCAGGGGCCAGGCAUACCCAGAACACUCCUGUUUGUUACACUCACUCUCUUCCACCUAGGAUGGAUGCAUGCUUUAUGUGUAAGACAAGUGGCUGAAGACAAAGUUUUGUGUCUCGGCUUCUCUUUUUAAGACACCUUUCUCUGUGUCAGAACUGUUCAAGUUGUCCUUCUCACAGUUUGCUAAGAAAUAGGGUUGGGCUGGGUGCUCUGUUUUGUCUUUAGGAUCUGGGCGUCUUCAGAGAGGGAAGACGCCGUGUGGAUAACCGGUCCCAAAGAGGAGGAGCUGAGGAUGGCAGCCCUCCCCUCAGUGCGUGCAGAUCCAACGUGGUUGCAAGCUUGACCCCCCCCCCCGGCCCCCGCCAUCAUCACUUCCAUUGUGUGCCAGACACCAUGACACUGCCUAGAAUACGGCAUGUGCUUUGCAGCCACACGGGCACCUGGCGCCGUGACGGUCACGGACACCUAGGUGUUGUUAUUGGCAGGAGCAUAAGCAGUGAACCCAGGAACGUGUCUGCGAGCCAGCCUGCCUUUGUGUGGAAGACCAACAGGUGCUCCUCCCAGGCCCUCUGGGAGUCCUCUCUCCCUCCCCCAUGACCGUCUUGGCCAGGAACUGUGUUCAAGGACUGUGUAGGGAGGUCACGAGACAAAGGCGGGGUGGAGUGAUCCUUGCAAGAACAGCCUUCCCAAGCAGGACUCUCUGCGAGCUGUCAGCAGACGGCUGCCGUCCCGGUUAGCAGAGACAGGCCCCCCACCCCUGGUAGCCUUUCUUCUUUCUAGCUGCCAAAGCGUCUGCAGUUAGGUCUGGGGGUUCUGGAAGGCGAGCAUCGAGUAGGUGGCAAGAUUGUGAGCUACACGGGGGCUGGGCUUCUGGUCUGGCCAUUUGGUGGGAGUCAGAGGGAGGAGGGCCCGCAAGGCCCAGGUGGUGGAGGAAGCGGGUGGCGUUUUUAGAGAAGCUGCACCCUGCAGGAUUUUGCUGGGCAGCUGCGAGCGGAGUGUGAUUGACUCUGGCUGAGAUGCCAUCUUCCUUUAGUCCUUCCGGAAGUGGCGGUGGGGGGAGGGCAGAAGCCACUUAGGACUGUGGGGUCUUCAGGCAGACGGAUGCUCUGAAAACUGUGGUUGUGUUUACAAGGCUUCCUAUGUACAAAACCGUUUCUGGAAGCCCACUUACAAUCUUUGCCUGGAGUAAGGGAAGGCAGUGGGCUCACGAGUUAGAAGAAAGGAUUGCGGCAUCGCUACUGAGAGGUGUUCGUUCGCCGGUCCACCCAUUUUAGCCAGUGCAUAUAAUGACCUUGUGUGUAGUCGGCGCUGGGUGGAAGAUGGAGCAGAGGGCACAGCCCCGUCCUCUGUUCAGAAAGCGAGAGGCGCAGCCGGUGUGGAGCAGAGGGAAGGGGGAGGUGGCUUGUUCUCUUUGUUUUGUGGUUCUGUGGUGCCCCAUGUUCCUGAUUUUUUCUGCAGUGGCGGCUUUUAUUUCCUUUAGAUUCUGAAAUGCUUUACGGACCUCUCCUGAGGGAGGUCUUCCAAAAAGAUAACCCUCCUCUGCCUUUGGAAACAGGAUCUACAGAACAGAGUCUCGUCUCUUUGUUGUUUUGUUUUGUUUUGGUGUUUGGUCCUAUUUCAGCCCUUCCUCGAGUGUUCCCCAAGCUUUUCUAAUUGUUGGCACUUUUUUCUUCCAUGAUACAGGCAGCCGUUUGUCAUUGUAUCAGUUCCCCCUGCGGCUGUAUCCUCACCGGCUGUAUCCAGUGAGGAUGGAAGACUUCCCCAAGGACCAAGAGAACUGCUUUCUUAAUGAGCAAGCUCGGCUUUGUAUUCAACUUGAGGUCGAUAAGCUUUGGUUUGCUGGCUGAGAGCUGGGCGGGCAGAGUGACAGCUACUCCCCGACCUCUCUGAGGGUGCAUCCAUUCCUUCCUUAAGCUGUGUUCUGUAUAUGAUCAGAGUUGUUGGACGUAACUUGUGGCGAAGAUGGGGUAGUACCCUCCAGGAGGAGGGGUCAGCGUGAGAGGCAUUGUCUACACUGUCUACACAGCUGUGAGAGUGUGAAGAAGAAAGAGUUUGAGUGUGGGGAGGCCCCAGGAAUGGUUUCAUGGAAAUGAAGCUUACCUGGAUCUUGAGCCCAGGACAGGGCUUGGGGGAGGUGACAGAAAUGGGCCGCAUGAUUGAGAAGUCUUCACGGUCCUUCCUGUUAACUCUACAUGAGGUUGUUGCCAUAGCAUGGCAUCCACCCCCGGCCCCUGCAGGGAUUGGAGUCCCAGAACCUCGUCUUGGGCUCCUCCACGUCGUGCUGGAAGUGCGGAAGCUUUGGCUGCUGCGGCCUACACGGUGAGGGUGAACCCUCGCUUUCACACGGCAGACCCGGGAUGAGGCAGGGUCGCUGAGCUUCCACACGUGCCCCUAGGGCGGAGGAGGAAGGAGAGGGGUCCAUCUCCCUCUGGUGGGCACAGAGGCCCAUCCUGUUCCCUAGAAUCCAGACUUCCCUUGUGCAUUCGAAGAGUAACCAAGCCGAAUUUGAAAUCAAGAAGCACUGGUGGCUGUUAGCUUGUGUGGGCAUCUAUCAUUAGCGAAAAACAUUAGAGUCUUGUUUCAACCUUAUCAAGUUCCUGGGGAACCUGGAGCAAUGGGGGGAGGGGUGGUAAGCAGAGGGCAGGGAGAAGCUACCAGCCUGUGUCCCACCCCACCCUUGGGUGCCAAGUUCUGCAUUGACUUGAGGCAGGGCAGCAGGAAGCAGGUUGAAAUCCGUCCCUCAGUCGGUGAUGAAACCAGUAUGUUUCAAAUGCCUAAAAUUUAAGAAGUUACAGGGCAUUAUUGGAGCAAAUGAGAAUUCAUUCAACAACCACUUACUGAAGCAUACCAUGUCUUCGGGUUCCAGAUGAAGGAUUAAGCAAAACUGGCAAUCUCACUCUUCCGUCCCAAAUUCCCCAGGAAUGACAGAACAUAGCGUUUAAAAAUAUCAGUACUGCUAGAAAACAAAAGAUGUGCUGAGCGCAUCCAAACUGGGAGGAAUCCCUGAAAGAUGGGGAGUAGGUGAGACCAGACGCCCCAAAUGUUCCCGUGGAAGGAUGGCUGAGAGACGAGCUCCAGGCUGCUAAGUGAUGGGUGUGGGGCAGAAGGGAGACGAGGGUACGCACAGGGCGAGUGGUGGGCUUUGCGAGGAAGAUGAGACCAGCAGAUGGAUCCCGCCUCAACUCUACAUUUGACCCCCUAGAGGCCAGCAGUGGGCAAUAGAGAGUGCUUGGAUGCUCGGGCCCAGGCCAGCAGCGCUCCAGGCAGCCACAGAGCCCACGAGGAGGAUACCCAUCUCUGCACUCUCUCCCGGGUCACUCUGCCAGCAUCAGGCCCUGCCCUUGCUUUUGUUGGCUAGGCGGAAGUAAAACCUGCCCAGGCUACAGCGCACUCUUUCCCUCGAUUGCCACGUUAACAGGAAUGUUCUGAUGUAAAAGUGGGCCUGCAUCCCAGGAGUCACCAAAAGUAUGUGGGAAAGCAGUACCGUGAACAAUGCAUAUGGAUUUCAGUAAACAAAAACUCACAGCACAGGAGAUGUGAAUGGCGUGGCAGAGGCAGCCUCUGAAGUAAGGGCAUGUACUGAAUCCGUAAAGGAUCAGCCAGAGGCCCCGGGAACCAAGUUGCUCACGACCACACUUCAAAACCAGCAGAUGCGCUCAACUAGCAGAGUGGACAUCGCCUACGACUAAGUUAGGGGACUAGGAGUUAGCCCUGAGGGAUUCCAAGAGAACCACAAGCUGCUAGAUAGAAGGGUCGGGAUGGAGCACAGAGCCAGCUGCUUCGGCAUCCGUAAGAAGUUUCACAGGGUAGAACGGAUGGGCUGGAGAAGAAGAAACUAGGAAAAGUACAAAAACAUUUUCCACCAAGUAGAAAAGAAACAGCACAAGAUGAAAUCCCAAGCCUGAGAAGGGGUGGCCAAGGCGUCACGUAGACUGAGCGAUGCCUCACGACACUGAACGCAAGGAAAGCUGCUAAAAGCAAGGAAAGACUUUCAGAGAGAGAGAGAGAGAGAGAGAGAGAAAGAGAGGAAACAAGAGCUCCCACUGGCAAUACCGGAUGCAAAAAAGUCACUGGAGCUGUACCUUGCACUGCAGACCCAGCAAAGCUAUCAUCCGAGUGUGUGGGUGAACCUCACGGAUGGAGCGUCCCUCCUCUGCUGGUCACCAGAGGCCAUUGCUAAGGCAAAUCGGAACAGGGGGCAGUCAGGACCCUACUUGCUGCUAACCGCACACACUUCUGCCUUAAAGAGAUGCGUCAUCAGCCUGAGACAAACAACCAGGCAGAAGUAAGCGCAAGAAUGGAAGUCUUUUGCCCUUGAACCGCCCUUGCCGUCCCACGGUGUUUGUUCAAGUGUGGGACGGCCGAGGUGUGUUGGCACCUUUGCUCACUUGGAGAAAAGAGGCAUGGCUGCCUGGCUGGGGUGUCACCAUCCCAUGAUGCAUUUGGUGUCCCUUCAACCCUCAAGUUUUCUCUUGAGCAUUCAUUCAGAAGAGACACGGUGGCGGGGGCCAUCUCCCACUCCCCAGUCUGAUAGUUGGGAUUGCAGUAGACACAGCUCAGUGGCUUUGAUCACUGGAAGCAGGACAGUGACCCACGUAAAGGGCUUCGAACCAUAGGCACCCAGCUGAGCAGAGGGGCCCCUGUCUGGCACUGCUGGGAGCAUGGCCCAGUGCCUGGCUCCUGGGGAGGUUGCCAGUCCUGAGGGAUGGAGAGAGACCACUCACCAGCAGGCCCUGACAGCCUUGGAGAGGAAAGAAACAAAACUCACUGGAGGCGACACUGGAAGUCCUGGAGUGAAUUCGAGAGGUUCUGCCUUGGGAACCAACCCCCUGGGGCAGAGGGUGGGGGGAUUCUCCUGGGGCCAGGCCAGGGAAGCAGCAGGUUCCAAGUUGGAGGGGGGGUGGUCCCUGGAUCCCUGGCAGAGGCCUCACCACAGAAGAAGGUUGGAAGCUAAAGUCCUUUACAUUGCUAAAGCUAUUCUCCCCCCUGAAGUCUCUAUGCUCUGCCUACUCACGGUUGGGGCCAGCAGGUGGGGUCUCCUCUCUUCCCCAGGCUGGGCCUUUAAAUCCCCUGAGUCCUCCACAGCGAGCAGACACUGGGAGUGUCUUCGAGAGCAUCAGGAACUUGGCUAAUGGGAUUUUAGCCCCUUUAGCCUCACCCUAGGCUGUGCGAUCGAAAAGGAGACCCUCAAAGACCAUUAAGUCCUGUCCUCUGGCCCCAGGCAGGACUGAAUUUAAACCAGUUCCUUCAGGUUGCCAUCGUCUCUGAAACCAAAACCCCAAAGGAGCAGCGGCGGUAGCAUCCCCUGGGAAGGCUCUCCCGGUUGAGUCCUGCAGACCCAACUACAGCUUGGGGGAGAGGCCAGCCUGUGCGUUCUCCUUGCUCCCCACCCCCUUGGGAAAUGUACAUGACUUCAUGCCCUCCUGGCCGGGCACUCAGAUCAUCUCUGAGCUCUUGAGGGUUUUCGUGUCACAGGUUCGCGUAGGGCUUGACCCUCGGAUUUUCAGACAAUGCUUCAGACACUGUCAGUCCAUUGAAAAGUACCUGAGCAAAACUAGAGGAAAGUCAGGGUGUGGUGGGACGUGUGAGGGAGGUGCUGGGGGAGGACCAGGCCAUGGGUGAGGGCUGCCCAGAAGUUUUAGCCCUUGGGUGCCUCCCACCCAGCUCUGGUGCAAGGACAAGGGACCAGCCCCGGGGGCAUAUUUCUCCACAGGUGCCCAGCGACAGAGACCUCUGCAGGUGGAGCUUGAGUGCAAGCCUUGAGAUAAGGCGGUGAGGCUUUGCACUCAAGAAUGAGUAUUUUUCAAAAGAAAAGCAGCCUUUUGGAGAUGAAUGGUGGAGUUGAGGGGGCGGGGGUUGGGGGGAAGCAUCCUUGAAGGGCCCUAGGGCGUGAAACCUCCCCCAUGCUGCUUCCUUGUUUGCCCUUUGCCCCCGCACGCCACAGUGGGCAGUGGGCUCUGCUCCGACCGCCGCUCUCAGGGCUCAUCUUAAGAGAGUGCAAGAGCUGAAAGGGACCCACGAAUGCAGCCCGAGUUCAGCCUGCCCCAGCUCCUCACAGCGAGAAGAGGAAACGAAACCCAAGGCAGAGACUGACCGGAGCCGCCGCUGCCGGUUCCCAGGUCUCUGCCUUGCUACUCCCCUUGCCCUGGGUCUUCAGCAAUUGCUGGCACCACCAGAACUAGAAUUUGCUUCUUCUGAUUUCAGUCCAGUGGUUUAUAUUUUUUUCAUUCAUCUCUCUGCAGCUCCAGGCUUCCUCCGAAUCCUACAGGCCAAGGCACAACUUACUGGCAGGCAGAAGCCUUAAACACCAGUGGAACAGUUUUGAAGGGUGAACCUGCACUCCAAAGCCAUCUUGUAACGGAUGCCUGACCUUCUACCAUUAGAGAUUCAUUCUUUUGUAUACCCUGGAGCUUGGGUAGCCUUCCACAGUCAUUCAUGGAAAUGAUAGACACCUAGGGGAAAGCCCGCCCCCAACAGGUGACAGCUUACAAAGAAAGCGCAAGGGCUCUUUCUCCGUCUGACGAUGAUGGUGGCAGCCAGCAGGGGAGGUCAGGAGAGAGAGGUUUAAUUGGAAGGUGGCUUUGGGACCCACGCAGCUGUGGACAUUGAGUCAAGGCUACUCCCUGCCUGACCCAUGCAAAAGGCAGCCCACCCACCAGCCAGCCAGGUGCACUGGUGGGACGUUCCUUCCACAAGGCCCCGUACCAGUGUUUGGAAACUCAGAGGAAAAUAUGGGACUGCCCACACCUGCGAGUUAGUUCGCCCAGUCUGGUGGUUCCUGGGCAAUUAGGUACUGAGGCUUCGGAGGGAGCCAGCCUCUUCCUCUCAGCCCCAAGGCUUCCUGGCUGGCGCUCUGGCUCUGGCUGUCAGAGGGAGAAGCCUGCAUUCCAUUAUGUGCCUGUGAGUGGCAGGCAGAGGUUGAGGCUGGUAUGGUGCGCCCUGACACAGGGCUGCGUGCCCUCUCGGAGAAGCGGAAGGGAUCCGAGCCAGAAGCUACGUGGCUGCUCGUUGCAUGGAUUUGAUGAGACUCUGAUGAUACGCGGUAGGUGCUGGAAGCGUAUCUGACCCGCUCCCCACCCCGCCACAUUCCUGAAACAGCGCCCAGCGUCUUGGGAGACAGCGACCCUGCCAUGGGCCCCCACACCCUCACGAGGGGCACCGUGGGUGCGGGCAGCAGCCAGGCUCCUGACAGUGACCUCAUCGCUACUGGACACCGACUAAGGGAACCCAAAGGAGAUGACGACGAUGACUCAUUGGCCUCAGAGAAGUUAAGCGAGGAGCCCAAGGUCACAGCGUGUGUUGAACAUCAGAAUCCAGAUUCCACCCAGGUGUGUGCCUGGCCACUGGUAGCGUCAGGGUGACGUGAGUUUAGGUAGGUGUAGUUCAUUCCCCUCCUAGGUGUGUGACCCUGUCAAACUCUUAAACUUUUCUGAACCGCUUUUUCCUGACCUAUUAAGUGGAGACAACAGUCCCACCAAUAUCUGGGGUUGGGGCGAGGACUCAGUGGGUCAACACGUGGGUGCCCUUAGCUCAGCACCUGUCCCGUAGUGGGUACUCGGCCUGCAGCCACCCUUCUAGUGACCCCCGGCUCCCUGUCCGUCUGAACCGCAGCCUCAGGUGCUGGCUCGUGGAUGGGCCAGUGGGAUCGCCACCCCAGGAGAGGGCAGAGCCACUUCUGGGAGCCACAGCUGCACUGCAAUUCCAUGGAUUCCUGUGACUAAGCCCCAGAGUGGACUACUGCUCCUGGCAAGCCGAGGACCCCGGCUGGCUUCUCCAGCAACCCAGCGUCUGUGGCCAUCACUGUGUGCUUGGGGGAAGCACAUGAACUUGGACAUGCUUUGAAGUCAAGAAUCAGUAGACAGAUCAGGGGCGCUCUCGGUAGCAUCACGCUGCAGCCCAGGACGUGGGAGUGAGCUGGUGUUGGCAAAGACCUCCAGGGAAGAACACAGCCCGGCCCAGCAUGGCUUUCGAGCCUCUUCCGGGGCACCGGGAGGCUCUCGGCACAGGAAGCGCCUGACCCUGGGCUCCGAAUGCAGUAGAUGUUGGGGUAGGAAAGGGAAAGAAGGGGGGGUGCGCAUUCUCGCCUUCCGAGUGUCCAGUUUUGUAAGGAACUGGCAUUAUCCCUGAAAAUACCACUUUUGGGAAACGAUCAUAUGGAAAUAAAAGCUCUCAUUCGUAAAGGUGUAUAUAAAAGAACGUUUAUUGUAAUGUUGCUUGGAACGACAGGACAUUAGGAACAACCUAAGUUGACAUCUGUAGGACGGUAGCUUAAAAAAAGUAUAGCUGAUCUCUCCCAAGAGACCUCAUACAGCUUCCAAAACUGCGGACUUGGAACUGCACCAUCAUAACCUGUGAAGAGGCCUAUACUGCAGUGUUUAAUGGAGAAAGUACGUCUCUGAGUGACGUCUAUAACAAGAUUCCAUUCCAGUACCGCAUCUAACAGCACAGACAGGAUUUAUGCCUUAUAUUUGCAUGAACAAAAACACAGAAAAAUGUUAUUACCUAAAGGAGUGAAGUCUUAGAA